AGCUUUGCGCAGUGGCAGUAUUGUAGCCAAUGAGGUUUAUCCAAGGCGCGAUUAUUGCUAAUUGGAAGGCAUAUGCUAUUUUUAAUUCCAUAUAUCAUUGCCUUUUAUGUCUUUCAAAUCAUUCUUUAAACAUAAGAGUCAACAAUG